CAGUCGCCGCGGUAAUGCGUAGGGUGCGAGCGUUAAUCGGAAUUACUGGGCGUAAAGCGUGCGCAGGCGGUUUUGUAAGACAGGCGUGAAAUCCCCGGGCUCAACCUGGGAAUGGCGCUUGUGACUGCAAAGCUAGAGUGCGGCAGAGGGGGAUGGAAUUCCGCGUGUAGCAGUGAAAUGCGUAGAUAUGCGGAGGAACACCGAUGGCGAAGGCAAUCCCCUGGGCCUGCACUGACGCUCAUGCACGAAAGCGUGGGGAGCAAACAGGAUUAGAUACCCCUGUAGUCCCUGUCUCUUAUAC
rnacentral:rRNA from 1 species